rnacentral:tRNA from 1 species
GUCCCUGUAGCUCAAAGGAAAGAGCGCGUCCCUCCUAAGGACGAGAUGGGGGUUCAAUUCCUCCCAGGGACA